CCCACCUGGGGAGGGCGGAGGCGCCUCCCCGUCAGGCUCGCAGGCCCCUGCUCCCCCAGGGCGUCCUGGAUGCCCCGGCGCCUUGCCUCAGAGCGGCCCGCAGCAGCGGCGUCCUCCGCGCGCUGGGUACAGGUGCGCCCCCAGGCCGGCUGCAUCGGGGCCUGCGUUCUAACCAGCCCUCCGGGUGAUUCCGACGCGCGCACCGCCCGUGUUGCAGGGCACUGGAUUCCAGUGCGUGGUCGUGCCCAUUUCAGACCCUCGGAGGAGCAAGAGCCAGAGUUGGCGCAGCCACCUAGGGAGUUGCCUAUUCCUGUGGGCAACCUCAGCCCGCGCUCGGACAAGCUUUACUAGGCGUUUAAGGAGGCAGCCCAAAGUUGCCAGCUUUCCCAUCCCGCCACCUAGGGAAAAGAUGCCCUUUGUCAUCCUCUCUGAUGAUCUUCACCCAGACCUGGAAGUCAGCUCAAAUCCUGCCAGCGCAGCGUACUCUUCCACCACACACACGCCGAAGCUUCUUUUGAACCCUUAUGGUACCUUGUACUGCUAGGUUUUUUAAACAUGUUGUGUUCUGGUUUAUGAAUCAAUUACAAAUACCUUUGAACCUUAAAGGCCUAGGCCAGUGGUUAUCCAAGUGUGGUCCUCACACCAGCAGCAUCAACACCACCUGGGAACUAGUGAGAGAUGCACGUCCUCCAGCUCCAUUCCAGAUCUACUGUAGUAGAAACGUUAGGGGUGAAGCCCAGUAAUUGGUGUUUCAACAAGCCUUCCAGGUGAUCCUGAUGCACACUCAACUUUUACAACUACUGAUCUGGAAAAUUUCUUUUAUCCCCCCUCCCCCGCCCCAAGGAACUCACUGAUAGGGAUUGAUUUGAUUAUAUACAAGUUUUAUUCCCUUUAAAAUUAAGAAAUCAGCUCCUCCAUUUAUGCAUAGCUAGGUUGAGAGGCUGUGACAAUUGCUUUUGAAAGAAUUGCCUUUGGUUUUCAUAAUGCAUUUUAUGUAGUAGGAUUUUUUGUAACUUGGUUUGUUUGAAAAAAAUAAAGGGGCGCCUGGGUGGCUCA